UGGCACAACAAUUCCUGUUUAAGUCUCAUCAAUUGAGGAUAAAACAAAGAAGAAAUAUUUGUAACAUUGUAUCAAACUUCCCUGGAUUGUCAAAUAAGUUCAUCACCCGACACAGAGGCAAUGGUUAUGAUUUACUGUCCUGUACCAGCAUUACAUGAGAAUUUGUUAUUUCCUGUGCUUGCUAGCAACACAAACACACAGACAGGGGCAUGGCAACAACUGGGUGGAAAAGUCCAGAAGUAAACAUUUGUGCAUGGAGGGGGGCACGACUGUUUUAUAAAUAGGAAAAAAAAACUGUUUAAACUUCCUAUUUUAAAAAACUAUAUACUCGACGUACAGAAACCACAUUAUUUCAAUAUUUGUCCAGGAAAAAAGGACAUAAAUAGAGAAGAAAAAAGUUAUCCUGUUAAGAAAACGAAAAUAUUAAGCCACCAGCACCCCAAGAAACAGGAAAUCCAAGUGAAAACAUUUUGUGGCCACCACUGCAGCCGACGAGUUGGAAACAAGCAAAACACAUGACUUCAAUUCAGUUAAGCAUGUACCUACACUAACAUUAGUCAAUGAAUGGAAGAAUUACAACCAGAAACCAUCAGUGAGACAUCCCUUGCAGUCAGUUUGGGUUUCUGCCAUGGUGCUUUUUUUUUAUGGCUUAUGGAGGAAAAAAUCAACAGGAAUUUGGAAAGAUUUGUAAUAACUCCAUGGAAAAUUCUUUGCUCUUGGUUUAAGUUUCAGUGGUGAUAUUUUCUGUUGGUGAAAGGAAAAAGUUUACGGUGCAUUGCAACAUUUGGCUAAUCAGUUGUGUAAGGUUAGCAACCUUACGUGUAGUUUCUUGUUUACUGGUUAAAAGUACCAGCUGGCUGGGGAGAAAAAAAAAACAAGAAGUGUUCCAUGUGAAAUUCUAGCAAAAAGAGAAAAAAAAAAUCACUGAAAACAGAUGAAAAAAGAAGUUCUCCGCCAAUUACUAAUUUCCCGUUUCAGAAAGAGAGAGAGAGAGAGAGAGAGAGAGAGAGAAAGAGAGAGAGAUGGAGAGAAAUGGACUUGGGCUGAAGCAUAAGAACCAGAUGUCCAAACCACCUCCUCAUGCAGCCUACCCUUGCUCUGCAGUGAAUGGCGUAGUGCACAACAUCGUCCAAUCAAACGUCAUGUCUGGAGAAGGAAUACAUUUCCCCCUGGGUCAGCGGGAAACAACAACAGAGCCCUCGCAAACGCACGGAUAACUCUGACCCAGAAAAUUGGACUCGUUGGUCAUCAGAGGACCAAAAUGGUUGAUUGCCUGGACUCCCACUGUCCCAGAUACACUGUGAUUUUUCAGUAAUACAGCUGUCUGUUUAAAUGGUCAUUUCCCCAUCCUUUGGACACACUUCACGAUCAACCAUGCAUCCAUGGCCAUCUCAAUAAAGCAUUGAAACCAAUGAAGAAAACCAUCAUAGUGACUCCAACUCUAAGAAUGCAAUAACUCCAAGUCAGUAAUAUUUAAACAGGGGCAUAACUUCAUUAAGUAACUAAGAUCACAGAAUUACAAAAAAAA